GAUGAACGCUGGCGGCGUGCAUAACACAUUCAAGUCGAACGGUGACGGAAACUUCGGUUUCCUGAUCAGUGGCGGACGGGUGAGUAACGCGUGAGCAACCUGCCCUAUAUUGCGGGAUAACAACCGGAAACAGUUGCUAAUACCGCAUGACGUAUUCGGAUCGCAUGUUCUGAAUACCAAAGAAUUUUGAUAUAGGAUGGGCUCGCGUCCGAUUAGGCAGUUGGUGGGGUAACGGCCCACCAAACCGACGAUCGGUAGCCGAACUGAGAGGUUGAACGGCCACAUUGGAACUGAGAUACGGUCCAGACUCCUACGGGAGGCAGCAGUGGGGAAUAUUGGGCAAUGGGGGAAACCCUGACCCAGCAACGCCGCGUGAAGGAGGAAGGCCUUCGGGUUGGUAAACUUCUUUUACCUAGGGACGAAGAACGUAGACGGUACCUGGAGAAAAAGGCAACGGCUAACUACGUG
rnacentral:rRNA from 1 species